rnacentral:rRNA from 1 species
AUUGAACGCUGGCGGCAGGCCUAACACAUGCAAGUCGAACGAGCGGCGGACGGGUGAGUAAUGUAUGGGAAACUGCCCGAUGGAGGGGGAUAACUACUGGAAACGGUGGCUAAUACCGCAUACCAUCGGAUGAGCCCCGAUGGGAUUAGCUAGUAGGUGGGGUAACGGCUCACCUAGGCGACGAUCCCUAGCUGGUCUGAGAGGAUGAACAGCCACACUGGGACGGAGACCCGGCCCAGAAUCCUAAGGGAGGCAGCAGUGGAGAAUAUUGCACAAAGGGCUGAAGUCUGCUGCAGCCAUGCCGCGUGUAUGAAGAAGGCCUUAGGGUUGUAAAGUACUUUCAGCGGGGCGGCGGUACCAGCAGAAGAAGCACCGGCGAACUCCGUGCCAGCAGCCGCGGUAAUUC